GUGGGGAAUAUUGGACAAUGGGCGAAAGCCUGAUCCAGCCAUGCCGCGUGUGUGAAGAAGGUCUUCGGAUUGUAAAGCACUUUAAGUUGGGAGGAAGGGUAGUAACCUAAUACGUUGCUACUUUGACGUUACCGACAGAAUAAGCACCGGCUAACUUCGUGCCAGCAGCCGCGGUAAUACGAAGGGUGCAAGCGUUAAUCGGAAUUACUGGGCGUAAAGCGCGCGUAGGUGGUUCAGUAAGUUGGAAGUGAAAUCCCCGGGCUCAACCUGGGAACUGCUUUCAAAACUGCUGAGCUAGAGUACGGUAGAGGGUGGUGGAAUUUCCUGUGUAGCGGUGAAAUGCGUAGAUAUAGGAAGGAACACCAGUGGCGAAGGCGACCACCUGGACUGAUACUGACACUGAGGUGCGAAAGCGUGGGGAGCAAACAGGAUUUGAUACCCGAGUAGUCC
rnacentral:rRNA from 1 species